GAUGAACGCUAGCUACAGGCUUAACACAUGCAAGUCGAGGGGAAACGACAUCGAAAGCUUGCUUUUGAUGGGCGUCGACCGGCGCACGGGUGAGUAACGCGUAUCCAACCUGCCCAUCACUUGGGAAUAACCUUGCGAAAGUAAGACUAAUACCCAAUGACAUCCCACGAAGACAUCUGAAUGGGAUUAAAGAUUUAUCGGUGAUGGAUGGGGAUGCGUCUGAUUAGCUUGUUGGCGGGGUAACGGCCCACCAAGGCAACGAUCAGUAGGGGUUCUGAGAGGAAGGUCCCCCACAUUGGAACGGAGACACGGUCCAAACUCCUACGGGAGGCAGCAGUGUGGAAUAUUGGUCAAUGGGCGAGAGCCUGAACCAGCCAAGUAGCGUGCAGGAUGACGGCCCUAUGGGUUGUAAACUGCUUUUAUAAGGGAAUAAAGUGGGUCUCGUGAGACUUUUUGCAUGUACCUUAUGAAUAAGGACCGGCUAAUUCCGUG
rnacentral:rRNA from 1 species